rnacentral:rRNA from 1 species
AUUGAACGCUGGCGGCAGGCUUAACACAUGCAAGUCGAGCGGGGUGAUGGUGCUUGCACUAUCACUUAGCGGCGGACGGGUGAGUAAUGCUUAGGAAUCUGCCUAUUAGUGGGGGACAACAUCUCGAAAGGGAUGCUAAUACCGCAUACGUCCUACGGGGGAAAGCAGGGGAUCACUUGCGACCUUGCGCUAAUAGAUGAGCCUAAGUCGGAUUAGCUAGUUGGUGGGGGAAAGGCCUACCAAGGCGACGAUCUGUAGCGGGUCUGAGAGGAUGAUCCGCCGCACUGGGAGUGGGACACGGCCCAGACUCCUACGGGAGGCAGCAGUGGGGAGUAUUGGACAAUGGGGGGAACCCUGAUCCAGCCAUGCCGCGUGUGUGAAGAAGGCCUUAUGGUUGUAAAGCACUUUAAGCGAGGAGGAGGCUCUUUUGGUUAAUACCCAGAAUGAGUGGACGUUACUCGCAGAAUAAGCACCGGCUAACUCUGUGCCAGCCGCCGCCGUAA